UACGUAGGGUGCUAGCGUUGUCCGGAUUUAUUGGGCGUAAAGAGCUCGUAGGCGGUCUGUCGCGUCGGCUGUGAAAUCCCGGAGCUCAACUCCGGGUCUGCAGUCGAUACGGGCAGACUGGAGUCCGGUAGGGGCCCACGGAAUUCCUGGUGUAGCGGUGAAAUGCGCAGAUAUCAGGAGGAACACCGAUGGCGAAGGCAGUGGGCUGGGCCGGCACUGACGCUGAGGAGCGAAAGCGUGGGGAGCAAACAGG
rnacentral:rRNA from 1 species